GAUCCUGGCUUAGGAUGAACGCUGGCGGCGUGCUUAACACAUGCAAGUCGAACGGAGUUAAGAAGGAAGCUUGCUCUCAUUUAAACUUAGUGGCGGACGGGUGAGUAACGCGUGAGGAACCUGCCCUUCAGUGGGGAACAACAACUAGAAAUGGUUGCUAAUACCGCAUAAUGUCGGAUUGCCGCAUGACAGACCGACCAAAGGAUUUAUUCGCUGAAGGAUGGCCUCGCGUCCGAUUAGAUAGUUGGUGAGGUAACGGCCCACCCAAGUCUACGAUCGGUAGCCGAACUGAGAGGUUGAUCGGCCACAUUGGGACUGAGACACGGCCCAGACUCCUACGGGAGGCAGCAGCGGGGAAUAUUGGGCAAUGGGCGAAAGCCCUGACCCAGCAACGCCGCGUGAAGGAUGACGGUCUUCGGAUUGUAAACUUCUUUAAUUGGGGAAGAAUAAAUGACCUACCCAAAGAAUAAGUCACGGCUAACUACGUGCCAGCCGCUGC
rnacentral:rRNA from 1 species